CUGAAGGGCGCGUCCGGGUCAAUUGCGGCUUGCAACACCCGAUCUCCCUCAAUACGCCUCCAUCGAUGGAGGUCGCCGAGGGGGAGCGCGUGACCGUCAG
rfam:Natronolimnobius baerhuensis strain CGMCC 1.3597 ZB100001, whole genome shotgun sequence.